AAUAGAUACCCAGGUAGUCCACGCCGUAAACGGUGAGUGCUAAGUGUUGGGGGGUUUCCGCCCCUCAGUGCUGCAGCUAACGCAUUAAGCACUCCGCCUGGGGAGUACGGUCGCAAGACUGAAACUCAAAGGAAUUGACGGGGGCCCGCACAAGCGGUGGAGCAUGUGGUUUAAUUCGAAGCAACGCGAAGAACCUUACCAGGUCUUGACAUCCCGGUGACCACUAUGGAGACAUAGUUUCCCCUUCGGGGGCAACGGUGACAGGUGGUGCAUGGUUGUCGUCAGCUCGUGUCGUGAGAUGUUGGGUUAAGUCCCGCAACGAGCGCAACCCUUAUUCUUAGUUGCCAUCAUUCAGUUGGGCACUCUAAGGAGACUGCCGGUGAUAAACCGGAGGAAGGUGGGGAUGGCGUCAAAUCAUCAUGCCCCUUAUGACCUGGGCUACACACGUGCUACAAUGGACGGUACAAACGGUUGCCAACCCGCGAGGGGGAGCUAAUCCGAUAAAACCGUUCUCAGUUCGGAUUGUAGGCUGCAACUCGCCUACA
rnacentral:rRNA from 1 species